rnacentral:snoRNA from 1 species
AAGAUCAUACUUCAUAGGAUCAUUUCUAUAGUGUGAUUAGCGAGUUCACUCACCGAACUUCGCAGAAAACCCAACCGCGAUGAUGUGGAAUGGGGCUUUCUCCUGAGCGUGAAGCGGUUGCUUCGUUCCUAAAUGGAAUGAACAACAUUGAUGAUCGCACUGUUUGGCAUUGCGCCAAAUAGAUGGAUAAAGCUCGUUCUGAGUGGU